ACCUGCGGAAGGAUCAUUACCGAGUGCGGGUCCUUCGGGGCCCAACCUCCCACCCGUGUCUACCGUACCGUGUUGCUUCGGCGGGCCCGCCGCAAGGCCGCCGGGGGGCGUCACCCCGCCCCCGGGCCCGCGCCCGCCGGAGACCCUUUGAACGCUGAUCUGUGAAGGCGUGUCGUCUGAGUCGCGUGAGAAAUCGUGAAAACUUUCAACAACGGAUCUCUUGGUUCCGGCAUCGAUGAAGAACGCAGCGAAAUGCGAUAAGUAAUGUGAAUUGCAGAAUUCCGUGAAUCAUCGAAUCUUUGAACGCACAUUGCGCCCUCUGGUAUUCCGGGGGGCAUGCCUGUCCGAGCGUCAUUGCUGCCCUCAAGCACGGCUUGUGUGUUGGGCCGCCGUCCCCGCCCUCCGCGGGGGGACGGGCCCGAAAGGCAGCGGCGGCGCCGCGUCCGGUCCUCGAGCGUAUGGGGCUCUGUCACCCGCUCUGCAGGCCCGGCCGGCGCCCGCNGAGUCAACCACUUCUUUCCAGGUUGACCUCGGAU
rnacentral:rRNA from 1 species